GAUGAAGAACGUAGCGAAAUGCGAUACGUAAUGUGAAUUGCAGAAUUCAGUGAAUCAUCGAGUCUUUGAACGCACAUUGCGCCCCCUGGUAUUCCGGGGGGCAUGCCUGUCCGAGCGUCAUUGCUGCCCUCAAGCACGGCUUGUGUGUUGGGCCUCCGUCCUCCUCCCGGGGGACGGGCCCGAAAGGCAGCGGCGGCACCGCGUCCGGUCCUCGAGCGUAUGGGGCUUCGUCACCCGCUCUUGUAGGCCCGGCCGGCGCUUGCCGAAACAUCAAUCUUUUUUCCAGGUUGACCUCGGAUCAGGUAGGGAUACCCGCUGAACUUAAGCAUAUCAAUAAGCGGAGGA
rnacentral:misc_RNA from 1 species